rnacentral:rRNA from 1 species
UGGGGAAUAUUGCACAAUGGGGGAAACCCUGAUGCAGCCAUGCCGCGUGUGUGAAGAAGGCCUUCGGGUUGUAAAGCACUUUCAGACGUGAGGAAAGGGUGAUGGUUAAUACCCAUUAUCUGUGACGUUAGCGUCAGAAGAAGCACCGGCUAACUCCGUGCCAGCAGCCGCGGUAAUACGGAGGGUGCGAGCGUUAAUCGGAAUUACUGGGCGUAAAGCGCACGCAGGCGGAUUGUUAAGCUAGAGGUGAAAGCCCCGCGCUCAACGUGGGAAUGGCCUUUAGAACUGGCAGUCUAGAGUCUUGGAGAGGGGAGUGGAAUUCCAGGUGUAGCGGUGAAAUGCGUAGAGAUCUGGAGGAACAUCAGUGGCGAAGGCGACUCCCUGGCCAAAGACUGACGCUCAUGUGCGAAAGUGUGGGUAGCGAACAGGAUUAGAUACCCCCGUAGUCC